rnacentral:rRNA from 1 species
AUAGCGUAUAUUAAAGUUGUUGCGGUUAAAAAGCUCGUAGUUGAAUCUGUGUCCCACGCUGUCGGUUCACCGCUCGCGGUGUUUAACUGGCAUGAUUGUGGGACGUCCUACCGGUGGGCUUAGCCUCUCGGGGCGGCCCAACUAAUAUCCCAUCGCGGUGCUCUUUACUGAGUGUCGAGGUGGGCCGGUACGUUUACUUUGAACAAAUUAGAGUGCUUAAAGCAGGCUAUCUUCGCCUGAAUACUGUGUGCAUGGAAUAAUGGAAUAGGACCUCGGUUCUAUUUUGUUGGUUUUCGGAACCCCGAGGUAAUGAUUAAUAGGGACAGAUGGGGGCAUUCGUAUUGCGACGUUAGAGGUGAAAUUCUUGGAUCGUCGCAAGACGGACAGAAGCGAAAGCAUUUGCCAAAAAUGUUUUCUUUAAUCAAGAACGAAAGUUAGAGGUUCGAAGGCGAUCAGAUACCGCCCUAGUUCUAACCAUAAACGAUGCCAGCUAGCGAUCCGCCGAAGUUCCUCCGAUGACUCGGCGGGCAGCUUCCGGGAAACCAAAGCUUUUGGGUUCCGGGGGAAGUAUGGUUGCAAAGCUGAAACUUAAAGGAAUUGACGGAAGGGCACCACCAGGAGUGGAGCCUGCGGCUUAAUUUGACUCAACACGGGAAACCUCACCAGGCCCGGACACCGGAAGGAUUGACAGAUUGAUAGCUCUUUCUUGAUUCGGUGGGUGGUGGUGCAUGGCCGUUCUUAGUUGGUGGAGCGAUUUGUCUGGUUAAUUCCGAUAACGAACGAGACUCUAGCCUGCUAAAUAGGCGUACUUUCCGGUAUCUCGAAGGCCCCCGGCUUCGGUCGGGUGGUUUUUACUACCGGCGUACAAAUAAAUCUUCUUAGAGGGAC